GAGAUAUUAGUAAAGUAUUACAUGACUUUGUCAAAGUCAAAUCAUAGGUGAGACUCCUAUAUAUCUCU
rnacentral:tRNA from 2 species